AUAGUACUUCCUCUGUCCCAAAAAACUUGUCUAAAAUUUGUCUAAAUACGAACUUAUCUGGAGACAUUUUUGUGUUAGAUACGUUCGUAUCUAGAUAAAUUUAAGACAAGAUUUUUGGACAGGGUAAUACUAA
rnacentral:pre_miRNA from 1 species